UUGACAGGCUUGAAAGCUGAAAUGCCUCUGUUUAUCUUGGGGCUGUGAUAGUACCGUCAGUGACAGCACAAACAUCCACCCUGCCUCAUCUCUAUGCCUGGAGUGUGAGCAAAGAUAGUUCAGUCUCCAUGGCCAUUAAAUGCUGCUGAUUCC
ensembl:misc_RNA